UACAGAGGUCUCAAGCGUUGUUCGGAUUCAUUGGGCGUAAAGGGUGCGUAGGUGGCGUCGUAAGUCGGGUGUGAAAUUUCGGAGCUUAACUCCGAAACUGCAUUCGAUACUGCGGUGCUUGAGGACUGGAGAGGAGACUGGAAUUUACGGUGUAGCAGUGAAAUGCGUAGAGAUCGUAAGGAAGACCAGUGGCGAAGGCGGGUCUCUGGACAGUUCCUGACACUGAGGCACGAAGGCCAGGGGAGCAAGCGGG
rnacentral:rRNA from 1 species